rnacentral:rRNA from 14 species
ACUAACACUUGGUACCACCUCAUUCACACCCGAUAUCAUUUGAUCUUGGAAGCUAAAAUGGGUUGGGCCUGGUUAGUACUUGGAUUAGAGACUACCUCGGAGUACCUUUUGCUGUAAACU